rnacentral:rRNA from 1 species
CCCUUAGACGUUCUGGGCCGCACGCGCGCUACACUGACCAGUGCAACAAGCAUCCGUCCUUGGCCGACAGGCCCGGGCAAUCUUUGAACGCUGGUCGUGAUGGGGAUAGACUUUUGCAAUUUUUGGUCUUCAACGAGGAAUUCCUAGUAAACGCAAGUCAUCAGCUUGCAUUGAUUACGUCCCUGCCCUUUGUACACACCGCCCGUCGCACCUACCGAUUGAAUGGUCCGGUGAAAUCUUCGGAUCUGAGAGAUGUCUGAUUAAUUUCGGACGCCUUUUGGAAAAGUUGCUUAAACCUUACCAUUUAGAGGAAGGUGAANUCGUANCA